GACGUAGGGCGCGAGCGUUGUCCGGAUUUAUUGGGCGUAAAGAGCUCGUAGGCGGCUUGUCGCGUCAACUGUGAAAACCCGUGGCUCAACCAUGUGGUCUGCAGUCGAUACGGGCAGGCUAGAAUUCGGUAGGGGAGACUGGAAUUCCUGGUGUAGCGGUGAAAUGCGCAGAUAUCAGGAGGAACACCAACGGCGAAGGCAGCUCUCUGGGACGUUACUGACGCUGAGACGCGAAAGCGUGGGGAGCGAACAGG
rnacentral:rRNA from 1 species